ensembl:piRNA 21ur-9202 ncRNA
UAAAUAUUCUUUCGGCUAGCU